GAGGUGAUUUGAAGCUAGUUGUUAAAAAACGACUAGCCGAGAGAUGGCAAAUCAUGUGGAAUGCACAAAUCCACAAUAAACUUUACGAGAUCAAACCUUUGGUAGAAAAUUGGACACAUAAUAGGCAAUAUGAUAGGAGAUCUGAGGUUAUCCUUACUCGUCUGAGAAUUGGUCACACUCGACUGACUCAUCAAUACCUUUUGAAGGGAGAUGACGAACCAGUAUGUCAGCACUGCAACUGUGCUGUAAGUGUUAAACACAUAUUUUGCAACUGUGUUGCUUCUGAUCAGAGUCGUAGACAGCAUUUCGGAAAUGCAAGCCUUAGAGACAUUUUGGGCCAGAAGCCAAAUCUGGAUAAUAUACUGGACUUUCUAAAAGUCAUUAAUAUGUAUAGGGAAAUCUGAUGAAUUAAUUAUUGUACAGUUUUAUUUACGUUUAGUUGCAUAUAUAAAUUAUUCUAUAUAUAUUUUGUUGUUGUUUGUUUGUUUAUUUUUGUUGUUGCUUAUUUAUUUAUUUGUGUUGUUACUUAAUUUUUUUAUUAUAUUAUAGAUUUUAUAUUUAUAUUAUUAUUGGCUGUUCAGUCGUUAAACUGUGAUGUUAUGUUUGUGUGUAUAUAUGUCUUCCUAUUUAUUUUCUACUUCGAAUUGCACCAUGUGUUGUGGCGCAGUAUAGCCUGUAUGGCUCUUGUGCCAAUAAAAGUUAACCAACCAACCAACCAACCAAUCUUUGGAAAAGGACAAAUUGCUUUCGGGGAGAAAGCAACAUCUUUUUCAAGUCCUUGCACAACACCAGAUGUUUUAGACAAAUUUACAACUUUUUAUUGCCCUGGCUGAUCCAGGAUUUGUCUUUUGUCAUAAUGCUUACAGAUUCAAGUGCAUUGUUAGAUUUAUCUAUCCUAGUUUCUGCCUCUCAAAUUUUCAUAUCAAUUAUAUCAAUAUCAUUUAUAGGUGUGAUGCCUGCAGAGACACUCUCAUGCGUUGGAGCCAAAGGGCAAUCUGUGACGAAAGAUGGCACAAAGUCGUCUUCAGUGAAAAUAUUAGGAUCAUAUGGCCAAAUGCCAGCCUUUUUAAAAAAGCUUAAUAUAUGGAUAGGAAUUGCUGCAAUUGGCAUUGCAUAUUUUACGAUUUUAGGGAUUUCAUAUAUUGACAUUGUCUUGCCAGGGUUGCUGCAUAGCCAGUUGUCUUGAGCCUUUGCACAAUAAUUUUUAAACGGUGCAUUCACUCCAACGUCCAAUGGUUGCAGACAGUGUGUACAAUGAGGCGGAAAUGACAGCAUUAAAAUGGAGUUAGAUUUUGCCUUUUCUACCACAUUAAUAUCGACGUGAGUUUGGUGAUUAUCAAGCAAUAUCAAAACUGGAUCUGAAGGUGUGUUUGAUGAAGUGAUCCAUAUAUAUAUGAGGAACUUCGUAACUGUCAUCCAUCCUGAGCUAUUUCCUGCACCAAUGGAUUUCGGUGGUUUGCCUUUGAUAAAUAAAUCCUUGUAGUUAAGCAAAUUUGUGAAAUUUAUAAAUGCAAUAGGUGUUAAUCGCCACCAUAUUCAGCAAAUUAAAAAACAUGACCACUGGCCAUCUCCUUGUAAUUCUGGCCACAUUGUUGGUCCACAAGAUCUACUCCUGUUUUUGUCAUAUUAUAAAAAGUUAAAAUUUCUGGUUUUUGUGCUUCUCAUGUGGUUUCGUCUAUCUCGUCAUCAAGAUGCAUUGAUGAUACAAGCACGACAGCUUUAUUUAUUUUUUUGGGCAAUAAGACAGCAUUGUGCAGUCGGAUUUAAAUCCGAAUAUUGACGAGUUUUUUGUUUGAUUUCUCUGAGAUAAAGAUGCUGCCGGCACCUUUCUCCUGUUUUUACGGAUAGUGUGUACAUAGGUGAGUUUCUUAGCCUUAAGGGCUUUUACUAAAGAAAGACUAGUGAACCAGUUAUCCCCUGUGAUAUUUUGGUUUGUUCCCUGUACAGGCGUUAUUAAACUCUCAACAAUAUCCUGGAGCAGUAGUGCUUAUACAGUAAGGCCUGUCAGGCUGCUUCCCUACACAUAAGGCUCUAAACUUAGUGUAUGCCGUUUUGACAUCACACGAAGCAAACAUUUUUAGCUCUUAUAUUGCCGGUUUUUUGGGAAUGUACUGUCGAAAUGAGCACUUGCCUUGAAAAGCUAGGAGCUGCUUAUCUACCGUAAGGUACUCACUCGGUGUGAAGUAUUUUCUUAAGUUAGAUACAAACAUUUCGUGUAUUUUUCUAAUAGGAGCCAAUUUCUCUAUUUUUUCCCUCUCUGCUCUGUCAUGAAUGUUAUUAAAUCAUACGGAUCGUAAGAGAAAUCGGAAUCUUUCUUCACUCAUGCGUAAGUAGCAGGAUUCUAAACCACUGCCCUUGGAAUUGUCCCACAUCUUGUUUGAGUUUUUUGUGGACUCUGUAUACUCCCUAUCAAGUACAGUAAUUUGACAAAUGCUGUUAUUUCUGUUGGAUCUGUAUCCCUAGCAUACCUUUUUCGGGCAAAUGUUUUUUUUACGUUUGUGAUAUAUGUAUUUGUACAAUCCAUGAUUGUUUUUACUAUGUUAAUGUCAAAAAAUAAAUGAAAUAAAUUUAAUACUUUCUUAUGGUUAUGUGCUUUAUUUUUGAGGCCAGGUAAAUGUGUUACAAUGUUCACUGACUUAGUUCGAAUUAGUUUUGGUGGUACUUGUUUUUUCCAUUUAGUAUAGCCAUCCUUCCUAAUAAAAUACUUGUUGUUUGCAGGUGUUUGAUUUUUAUUGUGUUCAUGUGAGAGUAUUGAACUGUUACCCAAUUUGGAUAAUUUACUAUCACUACUUAUCAUCAAUCACAUAUGAAAAUAAUACUGAAUAACUUACAGCUAAAAAUGAAUAUUGUAGUUCAGGAUUAUUUUCACUUGUAGUGGUAAGUGAUGCAGCUGUCAGGGAAAAUAUGGAAUUGGCAGAUGAUCCACCACUACCUAAAGACAACGCACUAACUCAUUAGAGAGAGCUUAAAUUUUGCUAAUAGAGGAGGGCAUAAAAACAGAAAAAAUGAAACAAGAUAUAGAAAGGAAAAAGCAAGAAGUGGAACAACUUAACAUUUAUUACACUUAAAUGCAUUUAUUUAUUUUCUGAUAAUUUUAGUUCUUUGAGAAGUUUUAACUUUUUUAUUAUAAAUAUUAAAACGGCUUUUUUCAGGGUCAACAACUUUAGUUAAGAGUGGUCAGAUCGUAUUAAUAAACAAUUAGAUGAUGGAAGAAUAUCAAAGAAAAAAUAUAUGAAAAUAAAAGAAAGAUAAAAGUAUAGCAUAAUUUAUAUGUAAAAUAUAUAUAUAUAUUUUUUUUUAUUUAUUAUUUGUUAAAAACACUGUAGUAUGCUCUAAUUGAUAAACAAAAGGUAGUCUGUUACAAAAGUAUAGGUACACCACUUAAAAGUCUCUUAAAAAUUAAUUUAUCAUAAUAAUAAUUAAAAUUAUCAUGACUAGGGUGAGAUGUCAUCAUUUUUAACUGUCAUGGUGGCUUUUUUGAAUGUUUUAUUGAAUGUUAUAUAAACAUUUUCAACAAUGCCUCAUGGAACUGUACUUCAGGAACAAGAAAUACAUAAAAUUAAACACAGAAAUCAUAAUUUAAAUCUUUUUGAGAAAAUAUGGAUGAAUAAAACAACUGUAUGAAUGUUUAUUUAAUUUGUUACAUAGGUUAUGUUAAGUAAUAUUUUUAUUUAAAAUGAAUAAAAAGAAAAUUAUUUUGUCUAUGAUAGGCUCACUCUUUUCAAAAUUGUAUGGUCCUGAAAAGGACCUUUUGUGAAAGUCUUAAAGUACUGUUUCAUUUAACUGAAAUGUUGCAGUACAAUAGAUCUUCGAAGAGCAGAUCCUAAUUUAGAUUGCUCAUUCAUUUUUGAAGUUUCUUCCUCUAUUUUUUCAUUUAAAUGCUCAGUAAGAAACUCGUCUUUAAAUUCAAUGGCCCAAUUAUGUAGAAUUGCUGUGGCUAUAAUUAUAUUUAGCAUGUUGUCUAAUUUAGCAUUCUUAGAUAACUUCCAAUGUAUGGAAAUUGUGUUUUCCAGACCCCAAAUAAUCUCUCGACGAUAUUUCUUGCUCGUGAAUGAGCUUUGUUAUAUUGUCUUUUAGCAUGAUUUUGUGUAUGUAGAAAUGGGGUCAUUAAAUACGGCAAACAAGGAUAGCCACUUUAACCAACCAGAUAUCAAUUGCAAUAUCUUUGAUGUAGUUUUUCUCUAAUGCUACUAUUAGAAAAAAUUCUACUGUCAUGUGUUGAACCGGGCCACCGAGCAACAAUAUUUCUUAUUUUCUUCUUUCCGUCACAGAUUACCUGCAAUAUACAUUUAAACAUGCAUCAAUUAUAUAUUUUCAUUAAAAUGAUCAGUUUGAGGUAUCAAAGAUAUUAUUUGAUAUUUGUAAUUUCAUAUGUCAAAGAAAUACUCAAGAAUAUAACUGUCUCAUAACAAGGCAUAACAAUUUUAAAUGUUAGAAAAAUAUAUAGGCCCUUUUAUAUUUAAUAGUUAUUUAAGCUACAAUAAAUUAGUUUAUUACAUUUUAUUGAAAUUUCACUUAAUUAUGAAGUUAAGAAAAUCGCAUAUUUAAUUAUAUUGUAUGUAAAUAAUUUUCACCUGGCGGUUAAUAGAAUAAUAGGAUUUUCUAUUAUAAAAAAGUUGAGCUCUAUUGCCUCAGUUAUUCCUGGAAAGUUAUCCUUAGAUAAUAAAGAAAAAUCGUGCGUAAUAGUCGAAAGUUUGGAUUGCAUCAGAAAUACAAUUUCGGCAUUCUUUAGAUAUACUAAUGCCUUUGAGACGUUCUGGAUGGUUCUGAUAAUGACAUAACAAUAAUUAAUAAGUAAUGCAAUAUAUAUAACUUAAUACAAACGUUAAACAAGAUCUCAUUCUUAUAAAUGUCUCUAUCACUAUACAAAAAACUUUUUAAAUUUAUUUAAUAAUAGUUUGAUAGAUACCUGCAUACAGUAGAGACGUGAACUCCGAUAAGAUCACUGGCUACCCUCUGGUAGCUUCCGGUGGCAUAAAAUUGUAAUGCCGUCAAUAACUUGUUCGGCAGUUAAUGGCAAUCCUCUUCUAUUCAGAUGCCUAAUUUCGUCGCCAACCCGAUUUAAUGUGAACGAAUUCAGAUUUAGAAAAUCUAUACCGAGUUCGAAAUUUGUCUUCGGAAUAAAUUUCUAUAGGAUUAUUCCAAUCUCGCAUUAUCUCUCUUAGUAAUUGUUGAAAUGAAUGAUGUUCUUCAUUCGUCCCGUUUACAACAUUGAUCAAAUUAAGGAUAUUUAACGAAGAAAAAUGGCGACUUCUACUCGAGUAAAAUGAUGUCUAAACCUGCUAUCGAGGGAGUUUAGAAAAUAGGUCAAAUAACUUGUUACUAAUCGCAGUCUACAUUGUGGCAGGGGAGAAACGCCGUCUCUGCAAUGAAAUUUUUCUGAACAGCGGUCUAUUUGAUCUGUAAACUGCCGUCGGCUCAUGAGAAUUUGCAUUCUCAUUAUGUGCAGUUUUGUAAUGUAUAUCAACAGCAUGAAGCAAAACCGUUUCUUCUCUUUUAUUUUUUAACAAUGUCUGAACAUAUUCUUCUGCAAAAUUUUUAUCUGGCAAAGGAAAUAAAAGAGAACAUAUUAGUUUAGUUAAACAUUUGUUAGUUAAUAAUAAUCUCUUCUUGUUAGUUAACAUAUAGUGAGUUUUAAAAAUACAGUAUUAUGUGUAAAAUAUUUUCGAAAAUCUGUAUAUUUUAACUAAAAAGGAUCAAUUAAUUAAAUUAAAUUAAUCCAUUUUAUCUCUCGAUAUUAAAACUGUAGUUAAUUUAUAACAUCGUAUGUCGUUUAGUACUAUCGUUUAUUUGACAAAACUAUUUAUCUAAAUAUGUAUUUUUUUCACUUCAGUUUAUCGGAUAUUUUAAUAAUAAUGUUUUACUUACCAUUUAUAAGUUUUAAAUAAGUUUUCUUGUCAAUAAUUAAAUGUAUUUCCUCAUUAUUUAUUGCAAGCAUAACUUCUACCAUGGAGGCCGCCAUCCUUAAUCUAUUUUAUUCGAUCCAAACGAUCCUACCCUCCGUUAGGAUUAGUUUGAUCGCAAUCCUGUUGAUCCUACAUGGCAUUUGUAUACGCAAAUAAAGAUUGAUUGGAUCGCAGUAGUUCCUUUGUAUACAUGAUUUGAACGAUCGAAGUUAUCUUGGAUCAGUUUGAUCCCAAAAGUGUAUGCACCCGUAGAGUCCAAGACAAUUUAUCGUGUAAGGUCACUCGUACAUAUUUUAGGGUCAUGACAUAUUUUAUUCUAAAGAGUUAACUUGUCAAUGUGGGUUGAAACGCCCAUUGACAAGUUAACUCUUUCAAACGUGACGUAAUUGGUAUGUCCGUUGACCGCUAUGCUCGUCCGAUUUUCAAAAUUCGUUUUUAUUCUCCCUAUGUACGAAAUAACUCAGGCAAAGCUUAUUUUACAUUCUAUUGAUGUUGUUUAUGACAUCAGAAAAUUUUGAAAUUAUACACCCAAUAGGAGUUUAUAUUUUGGACAAUUUUUGUGGUCUCCACCUAUUGAGAAAAGUAUACAUAAUCGAAAAUUUCGUGAUGUACUUGAGUGUUUAUGAUAACUGAUGAACAUCUAUCUAGUAACCUGUCUUUUCCUGAAGCUUUCAUGGGCAUAUUCCGCCAACGUUGAAAAGCAGCUGCUCUCAAGGACAUUAAGCUAAGUACACCGAACUGCCACACGUGUCACGUGAUCUGUUGCAGAUACUUGAUAUGUGAAAGUGAAUUAAUUUCUAAAUAACACCUAAUAAAGGAAAGAAUGUUUUAUGCUAAAAUUGUUUAGAAAUGUAUUUGAUAAAUUGGUGUGUUAAAUUUUUUUAUAUUUUUUGUGGGAGGUUUUCCUGUAAAGCAUAAAAACAAUGUUAGGUUAAUGAGGUUAAGUUUAGCUUAUAAGUAAUAACAAAAAAAUAAAAAAAAAUUAUCAGAAAAUAACGUAAGACAAUCGAGUAUUUACAGUAUUUUAAGUAGUUCAGACGUGUAGAAAACCUACUUCCCCUCAGGCGUUGUUGGAAACAACCAGCAAAAGUUCACAAUCAGCUGUUCUGAAGGUUAUCCAGCUGUUUAUCUAUAUUGAAUCCUGUAUCAAGUGUCUCUUUGCCAGGUUUGUGUUACAUGAAAAAUAAUAAGUUUCUAAAUAAUACAUAAUGAAAAAAAUAAAGUUUUAUACUAACAUUUUUAAUUAAUUUAUUUUAUAAAAUGGUGUAUUAUAAAUUAUUCUGAUUUUUUUGUGGCAGUUUUUUUUCGUAAAAUAUUUUUUACAUAUUAUAAUAGAAAUAUUUUAGUAAAAGAAAAUAAGUUGUUCAUACUUCUAUAAAUUUAUUUACCUAUAUACCUAUUUACCUGUUUGUUUCAAGAAUUUAUGACUCUAUCUCCUCUGAAUAAUUGUAGAAUAUCUCACUCAGUCUUGAUCUUGCUCUAUCAAGUCCUGUUUUAGUUCUGUGCCUGCAGUUUUGUUAUCUUUUUUGGAUAUCUGUCAGCCAGUUUUUCAUUAUUAUCCAGUAAGUUUAUUAUAAUUCUGUUUAUUUCGGAGAAUAUUAUCUAAUUUUUAACACGUAACAGAAAAAUAAGAUGGGUUUUAGAUGAUUUUUUUUAUUGGCAGAAUGUCUCAUAGUGAAGUAGAAUAUAUGGCACUCUCUGAAAGCGGUUCAGAGAGUUAUAUACCGAGCAUUGAUGACUCAAGCAGUUCAGAUGAAUCAGGAAGAGCUACCGCUCAAACUUGGUGUCAAGCUGACCCCAAUACCUUUCCAAUGCCUUCUUUACGGUUUCUGUUCACUGGAACUCCUGGAUGUUGGUUCUUUACUAAUCAAGUAACAGAACCAUUAGAUUAUUUUAAUUAUUUUCUGAUGACGAAUUGGUGAACCAUAGAACUUCGGAAACAAAUAGGUAUGCCCAAACAAAGCCACAGACAUCCAGGAGCUAGUGGAACUCUGUUUCAAUAGUGGAGAUGCUGUAGUAUAAUGCUAAAAAACAUAUACAAGGUAUUAUUCAUAAACCAAAUGAGAGAAUGUAGUGGACCAGGAACGAAACACUUUCCACUCCAAGUUUUCGAAGAUUAAUGUCAAGAACUCGUUUUUCGGAAAUAAAACAAAAUAUGCAUUUUACUGAUAAUCAAAAUUAUAAUCCAUGAACUUAUCCAAACCCUAAUCUCAAUAAAAUUUGGCCAACAGUUAAAAAUUUAUGUUCAAAAUAUUAGCGUUUCUAUGUCCCAGAAAGAGAUAUAGUGGUGGAUGAGAGUUUAAUGUAUUCAAAGGACGUCUUUUGUGGAGACAAUACAUGCUUCUCAAACAGUCUCGUUUCGGUGUGAAAUUCUAUGUUAUGCGAGACCUCAUCUGGCUAUUUGUAUAAUUUUACAAUUUACACUGGUAAAAAUAGUUUUAAAUGAAAAAUAUAAAGAUAUGCUAGUAAUAUCAAAAAUAGUAUUGUUAUUAGGGGACUCGUUGUUAGGCAAGGGCUAUUAUCUAACAACAGAUAAUUAGUUAAAUGUGGGGAAGAAUAAAAAUUAUCUGGUUACAGUCCAAACGGAUUUAUUUGGAACUGUGUGGACAACCAGACAACAGGUCUCGGCUGAGUUUUGAAAUAAAAAAUUGAAAAAGAGAGAAACAGUGGCGAUGCAGAGAGGUAAAGUGAUGAUUAUGAAGUGGCAAGACCAAAGAGCCGUCACUUUACUCUCUACAGUCCACAAUUAAGUAAUGGUAAGAAAAGAAACCCAUACUGGUAAAAUAGUUAUAAAGCCACAGAGUUGUUGUCAACUAUAACGACACAGUGGGAGGUGUUGAACUUUUAGAUCAGCAUUUUCAAGAUUAUCCAGCAGCAAGAAAAGAACAAAAAAAUUUUUCAAAAAACUAUUUUUUCAUUUAUUAGAUAUUUCUAUAUUUAAUUCUUUUGUCUUACAUUAUAAAAUGGUGGCGGAAUGGAACAUUUGCAAUUUAGAAUUAAUGUUAUUGAAAAAAUUAUACAGGUAUCACAUCGAACGAGGGUUACCAGACGUGGUCAGCUGAGAACUUCAGGUCCACUUAGACUUACGGGAAGACAUUUUCCUGACCUUCUGGCGACUGGUAGAAAAAAUGCUCCCACUAGACACUGUGCCGUAUGUAAAACUAAGCAUGACGGUGCAGGGAAAAAAAUAAGAUAGGAAACCAAGUAUUAUUGUCAAGUUUGUGGGCAGCACCCUGCUUUAAAAUCUACCACAUAGUGGGAAAAAUAUUAACCAAAAUUUACUUUUUCUACAUCAGAAUUUAAUGUAAAAACGUUACAUGACACUAUCCGGAAUUUGUAACAGGUGUGACGCGUAUAUACUGUAUAUCGCUGUUGACAAACAUUUUCGAGCAAUCUCUUUGCUCUUCUUUAGGUCGACAGGAAUUCCCUAGACAAAGUGUAUUUUAUUUGUUGGGAUCGUGUGUCAAUUCUGAUGGAGUGGGUUCUUUCUGACAUGCACGGUCGUGUGGUGGUGGAGGAAGUGGUGGGUUAGCAUACAACAGUGAUUGCCCAGGGCAGGGACAGAGUCAGCUCUUCUUUCCAGUUAACGCACGUGGUUAGCCGGCUGGCAUUGUAGAUAGCUGUGGCCUCUAGCCACCUGAAAUGCUCUUGGUGGGGUGUAUUGUUGAUAACAGUAGCUUUUUUGAAUUGCGCUUCGAUUUCAGGAUCCAACGCAUACAUGGCCAGAGCUGUGGCGGAUAUCUGACACGGGAGACUUGCCACAGUAAAGUAUAAUACUAUUUAAUCAAUCUUUAUAUGCUUAGUCUAAAUGAAAAUGGUUCAUGCUCGAAGCACUUUAUCAUAAUAUGCUUGAAUUUGUCAAAAUCAUCUCUCUCUUCAUUCUUUGAUCCUUUCUCACAAAUUUACUAGUUAUUCCCGUCAAUUUAAGCUUCGCUACGGCCAACAUUUGAGCCUUCGACCAUGCUGCUACUUUUGUAACAUCUACCAAUGAAUAAAAAAAAUCAGUUAUUCUUGGACCUCCC
rnacentral:lncRNA from 1 species